GCUAGAUGGAUGCUUUUACAUGUCAAUCGAACGGCAGCGCGAGAAAAGCUUGCUUUUCUUGGCGGCGAGUGGCCAACGGGUGAAUAUUUUAUCGCAACGUACCCAGUAGGGGGGGAUAACUGGCCGAAAGGUCUCUAAUACCGCAUACCCCCUACGGGGGAAAGGGGGGGAUCUUCAGACCUCUCUCUAUUGGAGCGGCCUAUAUCAUAUUAUCUUUUUGGUGAGGUAAGGGCUCACCAGGGCCACUAUCUGUAUCUGGUUUGAGAAGACCACCCCCCACUCUGGGACUGACACACGGCCCACACUCCUACGGGAGGCAGCUGUGGGGAAUUUUGGACAAUGGGGGCAACCCUGAUCCACCCCUCCCGCGUGUGCUAUGAGCGCCUUCGGGUUGUAAAGCUCUUUUGGCGGGGAAGAAAAGGCGCCAGAUAAUACCUGGCGCCUCUCACGGUACCUGCAAAAUAAACACCGGCUAACUACGUGCCAACAGCCGCGGUAAUACGUAGGGUGCAAGUGAUUAUCAGAUUUACUGGGCGUAAAGCGUGCGCACGCUGUUCAGAAGAAAUAUGUGAACUCCCAGAGCUUAUCUGUGGAACUGCAUUUUUCACUCCCGAGCUAGAGUAUGUCAGGGGGGGGGUAGAUUUCCACGUGUAGCAGUGAAAUGCGUAGAGAUGUGGAAGAAUACCUAUGGGAAAGGCCGCCCCUCUGGGAUACUACUGACUCUCAUGCACGAGAGAGUGGGGAGCAAACAGGAUUAGAUACCCGUGGUACGUCCACCGCCCUAAACGAUGUCACAUAGAUGUUGGGGCGUUCGGGCGUUAGUAGAGCAGAUAACGCGUGAAGUUGACCCCCCGGGGAGUACGGUCGCAAGAUUAAAACUCAAAGGAAUUGACGGGGACCCGCACAAGAGGUGGAUGAUGUGGAUUAUUUUGAUGCAACGCGAAAAACCUUACCUACCCCUGACAUGUGUGGAAUGCCGAAGAGAUUUGGCAGUGUUCGCAAGAGAACCGGAACACAGGUGUUGCAUGGCGGUGGUCAGAUCGUGUGUUGAGAUGUUGGGUUAAGUCCCGCAACGAGAGCAACCCUUGUCUUUAGUUGUUAUGAAAGGGCACUCUAAUGAGACAGCCGGUGACAAACCGGAGGAAGGUGGGGAGGAGGUCAAGUCCCCAUGGCCCUUAUGGGUAGGGCUUCACACGUCAUACAAUGGUCGGGACAGAGGGUCGCCAACCCCGAGGGGGAGCCAAUCCCAGAAACCCGAUCGUAGUCCGGAUGGUAGGAGGCAACUAGUCUGCAUGAAGUAGGAAUCGCUAGUAAUUGCGGAUCAGCAAGCAGCGGGAAUACGUU
rnacentral:rRNA from 1 species